rnacentral:rRNA from 1 species
GACGAACGCUGGCGGCGUGCGUAACACAUGCAAGUCGAACGAGAGAGUGAGAGAAGCUUGCUUUUCUUACAAUCGAGUGGCAAACGGGUGAGUAACGCGUAAACAACCUGCCCCGCAGAUGGGGACAACAGCUGGAAACGGCUGCUAAUACCGAAUACGGUCCUCUUAGCGCAUGGUAAGAGGAAGAAAGGGUGGCCUCUGGAACAAGCUAUCGCUGCGGGAGGGGUUUGCGUCUGAUUAGCUGGUUGGAGGGGUAACGGCCCACCAAGGCGACGAUCAGUAGCCGGUCUGAGAGGAUGAACGGCCACAUUGGAACUGAGACACGGUCCAGACUCCUACGGGAGGCAGCAGUGGGGAAUCUUCCGCAAUGGGCGAAAGCCUGACGGAGCAACGCCGCGUGAGUGAAGACGGCCUUCGGGUUGUAAAACUCUGUUAUAGGGGACGAACGGCCGGGUAGC